GCAUGAUUCAGGCACUUGCGCUUUUGUAACCAUCAUUCAGUUCGAGUUUCUGUCAACAAAAUAGCAAUUAAAUUCAAAAUCAAAUAAUAUGGAAUAAUGCCGCUUCAGACGUCCUAUUUCCCGGAUUAUUUCUCAGUCGAUGACAUUCUAGCGACGCAGGAAAAAAUCCCGUGCAAGUUUAUUCAAAACGUGCCCAAAUUAGGGAAGUUAAACCCGGCCACGGAGGACCCAGACCUCCAAUCUGGCACGGUUUUGGAGAUGCCGCUAUGGCUAGUACUAGAAGCUUCCUUGAUGAGACAGCCAAUAGUUACCGCCGAUUUGCCUAAAGUUUACAAGGAUGCGUACCUUGAAAUCCUCAAAGCUGACCCUUGUGCAGUUGAUUUACACAAGUUUGGUGUUUACUUUUAUGAAUUGGGAUCGUACAUGAAACAGUUUGGUCAGAAUGAUGAUAUUGCAAAGACGUUGUUACAUACGUUCACUUUGCGAUUUAGACAAAUCAUGGAUUUGUCAGACAACGUUAUUUCUGAUCCCAACGUUAUACAAAAAUUAGAUGCUCUUGAAAAAAGUUUGUAUGAAAGUGGGCAUGAUGCCAAGAUGAAGUUGUUUUCAUGGUUGAAAAUGUCUGAAAUACCUCUAGAAGCAGCCACGAUGGUCACCAAUCACAAAAAAAGGAAGAGAGUGGAUGAGGAUUUAUUUUAAAUAAAUAAAAAUACUAUUUGGACUUUGACCAAUUGUUGCAUAAUAACCGAAUCUACGGAAUCCCUCUCCAAUGGUGAGUGACGUUUCUUUGAAAGACGCAAGAACUAGUCAGAUUCGAAGUCAUCCAAGGCCGAAGCAUACUUUACCACUUGAGUGUGUGUUUCCUUGUUAACUCGGUCGAGUUCCUGACUCAACUUCAUGCAUUUUUCUUGCGUCUCCUCCAGUUCAAGCUGCGACUUGAUUAACUGAGAAGAUACUUCGGAAUAUUCCGCGGCCAAAUUGGAUUUUAAUCGCCUAAAAUGUGUGAUGACUGAUGAGACAAGUAAAAGCAUUUUUGUUAAAACCUA